rnacentral:lncRNA from 1 species
GGCGGGGCGGGGCGGGGCCUGGAGACCCGAGCGCCCGGGGGGCGGGGCCGGGCCGCGUGGGGGCGUGGCGGUCGGGCGGAGGGGGCGGAGUCCGCCGGCGGCAGGGGGCGGGGGCGGGGAGCGCAGGAGAGGGUCCGGCGGGGGGGGGGGCGGGGCGGGGCCUGGACACCCGAGCGCCCGGGGGGCGGGGCCUGGCCGCGCGUGGGCGUGGCGGUCGGGCGUUGCGGUAGAGGGGACCCGUGGCGGUCGGUGGUCGGUGGCCGUUGGCUUGGCGGUUGGCAAGGCUCGGAACUGUGGACUCGUGCCCGGGGGCGGGGUCAUUCGUAUCCGCUCUCUGAACCGCCGCCACCCCAAGCUGCAAAGAGCUUCAGCUCCAGCGCGGUUAAUCCGUAGAGAGAGGCCAGGUCUCCGCCAGGCCCCGGAGAGAGCAUGGCCAGACCCAACAGACGAAGCCACAGGGAGGCCAGUUGAGACUUGACUGAAGAAGGUAAGGACCGAGGGGCUGAGCACCCCAUGCCUGGGAUCCAGCAGUCAUUUGCCAGGAAGGCUGAGCCCCGGGGUGGCAAGAGCGUGGUUUUGGAAAGGAGAAGUGUCUCUGCUUCUGGCGUAGAGUUGGUCAUUUAUUUUUUUUUAUUUUUAUUUUUUUAUUUAUUUAUGAUAGUCACGGAGAGAGAGAGAGAGGCAGAGACAUAGGCAGAGGGAGAAGCAGGCUCCAUGCAUCGGGAGCCCGAUGUGGGACUCGAUCCCGGGUCUCCAGGAUCGCGCCCUGGGCCAAAGGCAGGCGCCAAACCGCUGCGCCACCCAGGGAUCCCGAGUUGGUCAUUUAGUUCUCCAAGCCCGCACGUCCUCAUUUCUGAACCAUUGGUGAGAAAGCGCUCCGCACAGCAAGGCCGGCGGGAGCUCUGUCCAAGGUGGCGCACCAGGGUGGAGCACAACCAAGGCUGGAGUGUACUCACUGACACCAGAGCUACUCUGUCGACGCUGCACUGGAGAUCUUCUGCUAAAGGAAGACUGCUUGGAGCAACAAACCCACUUUUCAACUGA